GAGUCGCGACUUCACUACGUACAAGUGUGCUGUGGCCUUGAUAGGCAGAGCCGCCCUACGCGAACUAAAUAAAAAUGGUGGCCGCCGUGGUCUCCGGAGACAUUUGGACCGAGCAGGGAAACAAUCCGGCCCGAGAACGAAUCUAAAGAAAUUCGGAAACCGUCAAUCGUUCAAGUUCCAGGUGAGGAAUUGUGUAUCAGGGCCGUAAACAUCGCUAUCUGAACCUCGUUCGAUCUCCGUCAUCACGUUGGCCGCGGGCGCCCAAAAAACGACCGUCGUCGCCUCGAUGUUAUGGGUGUGCAUAUCUAUCACAUGAAUUUCAACGUGGAGAAGAUUUUUUUUUAAUCAAGGUAUGCAAUGAUAACCCGAAACAGAACGGCUACAAAUAUGACACCGCCAACGUACUCAUCGUUCGACACUACACGUUUGAUCUCAUUUGUGUUUUGAAAUAUACAAGUUACAACGAAAACGAUCAAAAGUGAAACAAAUUGAAGAAAAAUGUCGAACGACCGACAUAUUGUUCAAGUUUACGUUGGAGCCCUUUCGGCGUACUACGAAGCCCUUUCAGUUGAAGCAAGUAAACAAACAACAGCGGAUGAAAUCGUCUCGUGUAUCGUUGAAAGGCUAUCUUUGAAUGAAAAUCCUCGCGGUACUUAUGAACUUGCUGAAGUCAUCGGGGAUUCUUCUGGACAAGAAUGUAAAGAACGUUGUUUAUUGCCGAAUGAAAGUCCGGUACAGUUAAUGUUAUUAUGGCCGAAAAUGCGCUCGGACAAUUCGUGUUAUCGGUUUUAUUUGCGUGAAAAAGUGAACGAUUACGUAUGGAGGGACAGUUUUGUGAUGGAUCCUCAAUUAAUCAAAGACUAUUUUCAUCGAUUUUUAUACCAACCAAAAGAUAGGGAAUACCCGGAUUUAUGUCAACUACCCGAUUUAAACGAACAAACUUUACUUGACAAUUUAAGAGCUCGAUUUACAGCUGGUCAUAUAUACACGUACGUUGGUUCAAUCUUAAUCGCUGUUAAUCCGUUUAAAUUUUAUCCAAUUUAUAAUCCAAAGUAUGUGAAAUUGUAUCAAAAUCGUCGAUUAGGCCCAAAUUUACCACCUCAUAUUUUCGCAGUAGCCGAUACUGCGUAUCAUUGUAUGUUAAAAGAUCGUAAGAACCAGUGUAUUGUUAUUAGCGGGGAAAGCGGAUCCGGAAAAACAGAAAGCACUAAUUUUUUAUUACACCAUUUAACGGCUUUAUCUCAAAAAGGAACGCACGGCAGUGGAGUUGAACAAACUAUUUUAUCGGCCGGACCUGUUUUAGAAGCCUUUGGAAAUGCGAAAACUGCUCAUAAUAAUAAUUCGAGUCGUUUCGGAAAAUUUAUUCAGGUUAAUUAUAAAGAAAACGGGAUGGUUCAUGGAGCCGUAGUUCAAAAAUAUUUAUUGGAAAAAUCUCGGAUUUGCACUCAAGGUCGAAACGAAAGAAACUAUCAUGUAUUUUAUUACCUUCUCGAAGGAGCCACAGAACAAGAAAAACAAUUAUUACAUUUAAAACCACCUGAUCAAUACAACUAUUUAAAUAUGAGUGGUUGUUACACCCUUGAUAACGUCGAUGAGAGUUACGAAUUUUCCCGAUUAAAACAAUCAAUGGAAAUGGUUGGGUUUACAGCGGAAAAACAACGUAGAUUAUUUUCAGUUCUUUCCGCCGUUCUUCUCCUCGGAAACGUUGAAUUUCAACCAAGAAAAUCAGCUUACCACCACGACGAAGCCGUGGCUGUAAAAAACCCGGAAGUAGUUUCGUUAAUUUCCGAAUUAUUAAAAGUAAAACAAGAAACACUUCUUCAAGCUUUAACUUGUAAAAAAGCCAAAGCUUCCGGUGAAGUUUUAAUCAUUAAUUAUCGACUUCCUGAAGCGAUUGCAAGUCGGGAUGCGAUGGCUAAAUGUUUAUAUGGAGCCCUUUUCGAUUGGAUCGUUCUCCAAGUUAAUCACGCUUUAUUAUCAAAAAAAGAUACUUUGAGGGAACAUCAGGGAAAUUCAAUAGGGGUUUUAGACAUUUUUGGUUUUGAAGAUUUCGGGUUGUGUAAUAGUUUUGAACAAUUGUGUAUUAAUUAUGCUAACGAACAUCUUCAAUACUAUUUUAAUCAACACGUUUUUAAAUACGAACAAGAGGAGUAUCGAAAGGAGGGUAUUCGUUGGACUAACAUUGAUUUUAUGGACAAUACUGGGUGUUUGCAAUUGAUUGAAGGAAAACCAAAUGGGUUAUUGUGUUUAUUGGAUGAUCAAUGCAAUUUUCCUGGUGCAACAAACGAAACCCUCCUUCAAAAAUUCAACACGGUCCAUAAAGAUAGCAAGUUUUACCAAAAACCUCAAAAACGCGAAGGGGCUUUCAUCGUGGUUCAUUACGCCGGAAAGGUUAAAUACCAAGUUUCAGAUAUGCGCGAGAAAAACUUGGAUUUAAUGCGACAAGACAUCGUUGGGGUGUUAAAGAACAGCUCGAUGGCGUUUGUUCGUGAAUUGGUUGGAGCUGAUCCGGUGGCUGUGUUUCGUUGGGCCAUCGUUCGAGCUUUUUUCCGGGCGUAUUUUGCUUUCCAUGAGGCUGGAAGAAAACAUCGCCAAGGAAGAGUUGAUGGGAAUAAGAAUAAUAUUCAACAAAGAUAUAGUAGGAAUCAUGUCCCCAAUGAAAACAUUAUAAGCAAACAAGGCGUUCAGAUGGGCAGUAGCAGACCAACAGGUGGCAGAAAUCCAGAACCCGAUUCAUCUAACAACCACUACCGUUUAUCAUGGCCCCAAUUUUAUCAAAGAACUAGGACUGUAUCGUCGUCGGCCGGUCCCAAUGAUCGAAAAUCCGAGGAGGAGAAACGCCGGAAAGAUUCAGCGGGAAACGCGGCGGCAAAUUCAGCAGCAUUAGAACGAGGGCUUUGCCCCAACGAAGCCCGCGUUAUGCAACGGGCCAAUCAAAUCGUUAUGAAAAACAAAUCAUUCCGACCUCGAGAACGUGCAAAAAAGGGCUUAAAAAAUCUCCAAUCCGUAAAAACGUUAGCUGGAAGAACCGGAUUAACAACCGGAAGUCAACGCACAACCAGAAAGCAAUACUUAACUGUAACAGCCCAAUUUCAACAAUCGUUACAUUCCUUAAUGGAUACCCUAAAUCAAGCAAACCCAUUUUUUAUUCGUUGCAUAAAAUCAAACAGCAACAAAAUUCCGAAUGAAUUCGAUAAUGAAACGGUACAAAGACAAUUAAGAUACACUGGGAUGUUGGAGACGGUUCGAAUUCGACGUGCAGGUUUUAACGUGCGCGUUACAUACGACGAAUUCAUCCAACUUUAUCGAAUUUUAUUACCCAAAGGACUAUUAAGCUCCCAAAUUGACGUGAGAAAUUUCUUGUAUACAUUAAAUUUAAAUAGAGAUAAUUACCAAUUGGGAUGUAGCAAGAUCUUUUUGCGUGAAUCUGAAAAGUAUAAACUCGAUUGUAAAUUGCAUCAACAAAUUAUGGCCAGUAUCGUUACGUUACAACGUUGGUUCCGUGCCACGUUAGAACGACGUCGAUAUUUAAGGAUACGAAACUCUGUUAUCUUGUUACAAUCAUAUUGUCGGAUGUAUUUAGUUCAAAAAUACGUAAGGACCAUUAACGCUGCGAUUAAAAUACAGAAAACAUGGAGGGGGUAUAAAGCGAGAAAUUGGGUGCAAAAACUUAAAAAGGGUUUGAUUGCGUUCCAAGCGGGUUGUCGAGGGUAUUUAGCGAGGAAAAGUUUGAUGGAGGCUAAGAAUCGAAUUUCAAAAACGCAGAAAUUUCUUCCGAAACCUAGUGAUGUUGGAAGCAGUAUUGGAAGUAUGGAUGAUGCAUUUUCAAGCAAAGAAUCGAGUCGGGAGAGAUUAGAUUUCGAUUUGAAGGAUAGGAUGAGAAUUCGGGAUUCGGAUGAGAGUAGUGGAAUAUUAGAAGAUUUGGGUUCGGAAUUAUCACAAUCAAAAUUAUCUUUAAGAUCAACUUUAUCAUUACCAGCUGUUCCAUCAACUCCAAGUCCUUACUUACAAAGAUUUGAAGAUAGAAAAGCGGAAAGCGUUACAUUAGACACACAACGUCGUACUCAGCAAGAAGAAAAAUAUAAAGGCUCCUCAGACUCCUUAAGCUCUCAACGUUCGUUUGAUUCAUCCGAUUUAAUUUCGAUUUUGGGAAAUUAUUCAGUUCCGCACCCCUUAGAAGAUAAUAAAUAUUCGAAAUUUGAAAACACGGACGUUUGGAAACCAAGGAUUCAAAAGCAGCCAGCUUUAACGCAAGUCGCCGCGACUUAUAACGUAACUUCCGGGAGAUGGGACCGAAAUACGGGGGGGUUAGUUAGUUUGCCCCCUGUGAGAAGACCCAGUAGAGAUGCAGCAACCAUCGAUUUUUCCGCUGAAAGAACCCCAACGAAAGCAGAGGAGAUCUUGGGGAAACCAAAAGUACCAUUAAGAAGUCAACGAAAACAACCAAAAAGAAGUCACGUUAGGAGUUUAGGGGAAGAAGUUACCGAUGGAAGUUUAUUAGACAAAAAUGUUGCUUUAAAAACGAUCGAAGAAACUACUCCACCUCAAAGCCAAAAAGAACAAGUUAACAAAUUCAUUCAACACGAGGAAGAAUGGGGAAAACAAUACGUAACUCACACUCCAAAACGUCAAAAAUCGGCGUUAAACUCCUUCGAUUUGCGCCGAAGAAACAGUGAUCCAGCAACAAAAUCAAAUUUAGUUACAGAGCAUCAUCCGGAAGGUGGGGGUUCUUCCCCAAAAUGCCAAGACGAACCCGAAUGGCAAAAUCAAACCACUUUUACAAUGGGGGGACACACAUUUCGAAAAACUAAAACGUUUUCAAAAGAUGAUGCGUGUUCAUUUUGUAACAAUUUAAUAGAUGCUUUUGCAAUGCAAGGGUAUAAAUGCGCGAAUUGCAAAAAAAUUUUCCACACAAAAUGCAUACAAAACAAAAGCGUCCUAAAAAUACCUUGCGAAAACAAAUUAGUCUCCGAAAACAAUAAAUCCGGGCGAAGAAAAUACCGCAAACACUCAAAAGCUCCGUAUGACUUAUCAAAACCCGGUUACACAAACAAAUUUAGCGUAACAAAUACGUCAGAAUUCACCGAUCGAGCCGAUCAAAUAAUAAGCGACACAAAAGAAUUACAAAGAAUGCAAGAUUUUAUCACAAGCAAAAUUUGUAAAAUUGAAACCGACGCCGCGGGGAAACCCAGCGAAGUCGAUCGAGUUUUUAAAUUAGCUUUACGCGAAUUUAAAGACAAUUUAGUUCAAGUUUAUAGCGCCGCAAAUCGCAACUCCGAAGCUUACAGCAUAAAAUACAAAGAUUUAAUAAUGAAUUUCAUCCAAGCGAUGGAAACUGUUUGUCAAAGGGAAAAAACCGAAAACGAUUUCCCCGUAACGAUGGGAGUAAACGCUUUCCGCGGAUUUAUGAACGAAUUUAUGCAAAGUCGACCAGAAGCUGAAAAACCGGGUAAAGUAAAACGAAAAAAAGAGAAAAAACGUAAAGUCGACGAUUUAAUUAAAUAUUACGGGCACACAUUUUUAUUAACAAUAAUAAAUAUCCCAACAGCUUGCGAAAUUUGUAAUUCAUUUUUUAUGUGGCCAUUAGAAAGAGGAUUAGUUUGCCAAUCGUGCAAAUUAACGUGUCACAAAAAAUGUUACACAAGAACGACGAAUUGCGCUAAAGACGAUAGCGUUAAUUCCCAAGACGAUGGGUGGAAAUUAUUUGGGGUUCCAUUAACAACGUUAUUAAACGACGAAUCGACAAUUCCCGUUGUAAUUGAAAGAUUAUUAGCAGCAAUCGAAAUGAGGGGGUUAUACAUAGAAGGGAUUUAUAGAAAAAGCGGUGUUAGUUCGAAAGUAAAAGAGCUUAAAAAUAAAAUGGAAGAAAACCCCGAAAUCGUCGAUUUUGAUAGUUAUCAAAUUCACGUUUUAGCGUCAGUUUUAAAAUCAUUUUUUCGUGAAAUGCCCGAACCUUUACUCACAUUCGAAUGUUACGAGAAUUUUAUAACAGCCGCGCAUAUGGCGGAUCCUCAAGAUCGCGUUUCAACCCUUUACGAUAUCUUAAAAAAAUUACCGAAACCUAAUUUUGAUUUAAUGGAACGUUUAGUUUUUCAUUUAGCAAGAGUUGCGAUACACGAGGAUAGUAAUCGAAUGUCAACGGCUUCUUUAGCGAUCGUUUUCGCACCUUGUAUCUUAAGAACGAACAAAAUUGUUCCCGCCCAAGAUAGUUUACACGACAUCAGCAGUCAAACGCAAUGUAUUGAAACGAUUAUUUCGGAACAAUUAAGAAAGGUAAAAAAUACCCUUGAUGAUAUUGAUACUUUAGAUACGGCGAUGCAAGCUGUAACGAAACGACUGACAUCAUUAAGACGUUCGAAAGUGUAUUCACCCGAAGAGUUAUUACCAUCUGAUGAUCAAACGUCGCCGGGAAAUGUUGAAGAGGAAGAAAAUUUAUUAGAUCAUAUACAAGAGAUACAAAAAGAACAAGAACAUUUAACAUCAACUUUACCGACGUUAUCACAUACAUCUGACGAUGAUAUGUUAUCAACCGAUGGUGAUGGUAGUUUGGAUGAUGUUUCUAGUGUAAGUGAAAAGAAAAGUGGUCAAAGAAGCGGAGGAGGCCCCCCACCGGUUGUAAGAUCAAUUUCAAGUGGCGAUGCCGCAAGACAAUCAUUAAAUCAGAAAUUAAAAAGGCAGUCAUCGUCGGAUGUGAGCGUUAAAAUAGUCGAUGAGGGUGAGGAUGCUCCUAUUAUGAUUCGAGAGGGUUGUUUAAACACGUGUAAUAAAUGUAAAUUUUGUUUUGUUAAUUGUUGUUCUCUCUCUGGGAUCGAAUGAAGCGAAACGAAAAGAUUUUAUUUAACAAACUCUAUAUUCACGUUGAAAAUGAAAAUGUUUUGGAUUGAAAUUAUUGGAUAUAAACCGGAAAACCCUACCAUAAUAAACUACUAUAAACAAAUUACAAAAAAAAAAGAAAAUUCUCAAUACAAGAUAUUUAUUCUUCUAUAUACACAUUAAUUGUUGAUAUAUAAAUAAAAAAAAUGUAUAUUAAUAUAAAGAAGUAAUUGGAUUGGUGCGAAAUUAACUUGGAAGAAAAUGGGAUGGAGUUGGGCUUGAACUUAAAAUGUUAAAAUAAAAUGUUAAGAAUGAUUUAAGGAAGAGCCCGAAAUGUGUAAUGUAAAAAAAAAAGAAAGACUAUAACUGUACGUUGUUUCCUAUAAACAUAUUAUAAAAAUAUAUAAAUUAUUAUUAAAAUAAAAUUUAAUUAACAAUAAGAGAUGCGAGCGAAACGAGAGAGCAAGAAAAAAAACUUAUAUAUUUAAUAAAAUACUAUGUAUAUCUUGAUACAUAUUUAUUAUUACUAUAUAUAUUAUAUACAUAACAUAUACAUUAAAAAAAAUAAAUUAAUAAAUAAAUACGGAGGAAACGUUUAUCAUCAUCAGUGUAAUCUGCAAUAGUAACGAUUAAUUAACUAUACAUAUAAACGUUUUAGAGAUUUGAAUAAAAACCUUCCUCUUCCGAUAAAUUCCAAACUGAAAAUCGUUACGUUUUUCAUUCGGAAAAAAAGUAAAUAAAUAUAAACAUCUGUGAUAUGUA